GCAACCUUGGUGAAAUUGGUAGACACGUCAGGCUUAAAACCUGGUUCUUUACAAAAAGAGUAUCGGUUCAAGUCCGCUAGGUUGCA
rnacentral:tRNA from 1 species